GACGAACGCUGGCGGCGUGCUUAACACAUGCAAGUCGAACGGAAAGGCCUGCAGCUUGCUGCGGGUACUCGAGUGGCGAACGGGUGAGUAACACGUGGGUGAUCUGCCUUGCACUUCGGGAUAAGCUUGGGAAACUGGGUCUAAUACCGGAUAGGACAGCUGUUUAGUGUCAGUUGUGGAAAGUUUUUUUCGGUGCAAGAUGAGCUCGCGGCCUAUCAGCUUGUUGGUGGGGUAAUGGCCUACCAAGGCGUCGACGGGUAGCCGGCCUGAGAGGGUGUACGGCCACAUUGGGACUGAGAUACGGCCCAGACUCCUACGGGAGGCAGCAGUGGGGAAUAUUGCACAAUGGGCGGAAGCCUGAUGCAGCGACGCCGCGUGGGGGAUGACGGCCUUCGGGUUGUAAACUCCUUUCACCAUCGACGAAGGGUUUCUGACGGUAGAUGGAGAAGAAGCACCGGCUAACUACGUGCCAGCAGCCGCGGUAAUACGUAGGGUGCGAGCGUUGUCCGGAAUUACUGGGCGUAAAGAGCUCGUAGGUGGUUUGUCGCGUCGUCUGUGAAAUUCCGGGGCUUAACUCCGGGCGUGCAGGCGAUACGGGCAUAACUUGAGUACUGUAGGGGAGACUGGAAUUCCUGGUGUAGCGGUGAAAUGCGCAGAUAUCAGGAGGAACACCGGUGGCGAAGGCGGGUCUCUGGGCAGUAACUGACGCUGAGGAGCGAAAGCAUGGGGAGCGAACAGGAUUAGAUACCCUGGUAGUCCAUGCCGUAAACGGUGGGCGCUAGGUGUGGGUUUCCUUCCACGGGAUCCGUGCCGUAGCUAACGCAUUAAGCGCCCCGCCUGGGGAGUACGGCCGCAAGGCUAAAACUCAAAGGAAUUGACGGGGGCCCGCACAAGCGGCGGAGCAUGUGGAUUAAUUCGAUGCAACGCGAAGAACCUUACCUGGGCUUGACAUAUACAGGAUCGCGCCAGAGAUGGUGUUUCCCUUGUGGCUUGUAUACAGGUGGUGCAUGGUUGUCGUCAGCUCGUGUCGUGAGAUGUUGGGUUAAGUCCCGCAACGAGCGCAACCCUUGUCUUAUGUUGCCAGCACGUUGUGGUGGGGACUCGUAAGAAACUGCCGGGGUUAACUCGGAGGAAGGUGGGGAUGACGUCAAAUCAUCAUGCCCCUUAUGUCCAGGGCUUCACACAUGCUACAAUGGUCGGUACAGUGGGUUGCCAGUCCGUGAGGGCGAGCUAAUCCCGCAAAGCCGGUCUCAGUUCGGAUCGGGGUCUGCAACUCGACCCCGUGAAGUCGGAGUCGCUAGUAAUCGCAGAUCAGCAACGCUGCGGUGAAUACGUUCCCGGGCCU
rnacentral:rRNA from 1 species